rnacentral:rRNA from 1 species
UACGGGGGGGGGCAAGCGUUGUUCGGAAUUACUGGGCGUAAAGGGCUCGUAGGCGGCCAACUAAGUCAGACGUGAAAUCCCUCGGCUUAACCGGGGAACUGCGUCUGAUACCGGAUGGCUUGAGGUUGGGAGAGGGAUGCGGAAUUCCAGGUGUAGCGGUGAAAUGCGUAGAUAUCUGGAGGAACACCGGUGGCGAAGGCGGCAUCCUGGACCAAUUCUGACGCUGAGGAGCGAAAGCCAGGGGAGCAAACGGG